UACGAAGGGGGCGAGCGUUGUCCGGAUUUACUGGGCGUAAAGCGUAUGCAGGCGGAUCUUUAAGUAGAAAGUGAAAGGUUGGGGCUUAACUCCAACACUGCUCUCUAUACUGGAGGUCUUGAGUGCCGGAGAGGAAGAUGGAACUGCACGUGUAGCGGUGAAAUGCGUUGAGAUGUGCAGGAACACCAAUGGCGAAAGCAAUCUUCUGGACGGAUACUGACGCUGAGAUACGAAAGCCAAGGGAGCGAACAGG
rnacentral:rRNA from 1 species